rnacentral:rRNA from 1 species
CCUACGGGAGGCAGCAGUGGGGAAUAUUGGACAAUGGGCGAAAGCCUGAUCCAGCAAUGCCGCGUGAGUGAUGAAGGCCUUAGGGUUGUAAAGCUCUUUUACCCGGGAUGAUAAUGACAGUACCGGGAGAAUAAGCUCCGGCUAACUCCGUGCCAGCAGCCGCGGUAAUACGGAGGGAGCUAGCGUUAUUCGGAAUUACUGGGCGUAAAGCGCACGUAGGCGGCUUUGUAAGUAAGAGGUGAAAGCCUGGUGCUCAACACCAGAACUGCCUUUUAGACUGCAUCGCUUGAAUCCAGGAGAGGUGAGUGGAAUUCCGAGUGUAGAGGUGAAAUUCGUAGAUAUUCGGAAGAACACCAGUGGCGAAGGCGGCUCACUGGACUGGUAUUGACGCUGAGGUGCGAAAGCGUGGGGAGCAAGCAGGAUUAGAUACCCUGGUAGUCCACGCCGUAAACGAUGAUAACUAGCUGUCGGGGCUCUUAGAGCUUCGGUGGCGCAGCUAACGCAUUAAGUUAUCCGCCUGGGGAGUACGGCCGCAAGGUUAAAACUCAAAAGAAUUGACGG